GAAAAGGUCCAGAAAGGAAGAUGGAGAUGAAGAAGAGCCUAAUAGCAAAAAAUCCAGGCUUGCAAACUCCGAGAGCAGUAGUGAUGAACUUUUUGAAGACGCACAUGAAGAGCUUGACAACCAUGAAACUGGAGGCUCGAGGAAGCGGUCCCGAGAGGAUUUUGAGGAAGAAGAGGAAAACUCGCGUGCUUGCAAACUCCGAGAGCAGUAGUGAUGAACUUUUUGAAGACGCACUUGAAGAGCUUGACAACCAUGAAACUGGAGGCUCGAGGAAGCGGUCCCGAGAGGAUUUUGAGGAAGAAGAGGAAAACUCGCGUGUUUG
ensembl:lncRNA